GUGGGGAAUAUUGGACAAUGGGCGAAAGCCUGAUCCAGCCAUGCCGCGUGUGUGAAGAAGGUCUUCGGAUUGUAAAGCACUUUAAGUUGGGAGGAAGGGUAGUAACCUAAUACGUUGCUACUUUGACGUUACCGACAGAAUAAGCACCGGCUAACUUCGUGCCAGCAGCCGCGGUAAUACGAAGGGGGCGAGCGUUAUUCGGAAUCACUGGGCGUAAAGCGUGCGUAGGCGGUCUCGUAAGUUAGGAGUGAAAGCCCAGGGCUCAACCUUGGAAUUGCUCUUAAUACUGCAAGGCUAGAAUCUCGGAGAGGAUAGCGGAAUUUCCAGUGUAGCAGUGAAAUGCGUAGAUAUUGGAAGGAACACCAGUGGCGUAAGCGGCUAUCUGGACGAGUAUUGACGCUGAGGCACGAAAGCGUGGGGAUCAAACAGGAUUAGAUACCCUUGUAGUCC
rnacentral:rRNA from 1 species